CCCUUAGACGUUCUGGGCCGCACGCGCGCUACACUGACCAGUGCAACAAGCAUCCGUCCUUGGCCGACAGGCCCGGGCAAUCUUUGAACGCUGUUCGUGAUUGGGAUAGACCUUUGCAAUUAUGGGUCUUCAACGAGGAAUUCCUAGUAAACGCAAGUCAUCAACUUGCAUUGAUUACGUCCCUGCCCUUUGUACACACCGCCCGUCGCACCUACCGAUUGAAUGGUCCGGUGAAGCCUCCGGAUUGGCGCGCACCCCGGUGCCGCCGAGAAGUUGGCUAAACCUUACCAUUUAGAGGAAGGUGAAGUCGUAACA
rnacentral:rRNA from 1 species